rfam:Leersia perrieri chromosome 10, whole genome shotgun sequence.
AUUAAGGUCUUCUUCAAGACCAUAAAACCUAAAACUACAAAUAUAUU